GAAGCCGGCCGGAUCGUCGCCGCCCCGGGCAAUCGGGGGGGAGGAAAGUCCGGGCUCCGCAGGGCAGGAUGCCGGCUAACGGCCGGGCGCCGCGAGGCGACGGAAAGUGCAACAGAGAGCUGAACCGCCGAUGGCGGGGACUUCGCGGCGCGCAAGCGGCGCAAAGUCCACCCACUCAGGGUGCUUGCAGACUGGGUGGGUCGGGUUGAACGGUCGGUUGAAGCGAUCGGGACCGCGUACAGGCAAGGGUGAAAAGGUGUUCCCGUCGGGGAAGCCCCGCAAGGGGCCGGUAAGAGCGCACCGCGGCGCUGGCAACAGUCGCCGGCAGGGUAAACCCCAUCCGGAGCAAGACCAAGCAGCAGGCGUUGAGGCGGCCCGUCGAGCCUGCGGGUAGGUUGCUUGAGUGCAGUGGUAACGCUGCGCCUAGAGGAAUGGCGGUCGCGCACGGUUCGCCGUGCGAACAGAACCCGGCUUACAGGCCGGCUUCGCCC
rnacentral:RNase_P_RNA from 2 species